AGAGUUUGAUCAUGGCUCAGAUUGAACGCUGGCGGCAGGCCUAACACAUGCAAGUCGAGCGGUAGCACAGAGAGCUUGCUCUCGGGUGACGAGCGGCGGACGGGUGAGUAAUGUCUGGGAAACUGCCUGAUGGAGGGGGAUAACUACUGGAAACGGUAGCUAAUACCGCAUAACGUCGCAAGACCAAAGUGGGGGACCUUCGGGCCUCAUGCCAUCAGAUGUGCCCAGAUGGGAUUAGCUAGUAGGUGGGGUAACGGCUCACCUAGGCGACGAUCCCUAGCUGGUCUGAGAGGAUGACCAGCCACACUGGAACUGAGACACGGUCCAGACUCCUACGGGAGGCAGCAGUGGGGAAUAUUGCACAAUGGGCGCAAGCCUGAUGCAGCCAUGCCGCGUGUGUGAAGAAGGCCUUCGGGUUGUAAAGCACUUUCAGCGGGGAGGAAGGCGAUAAGGUUAAUAACCUUGUCGAUUGACGUUACCCGCAGAAGAAGCACCGGCUAACUCCGUGCCAGCAGCCGCGGUAAUACGGAGGGUGCAAGCGUUAAUCGGAAUUACUGGGCGUAAAGCGCACGCAGGCGGUCUGUCAAGUCGGAUGUGAAAUCCCCGGGCUCAACCUGGGAACUGCAUUCGAAACUGGCAGGCUAGAGUCUUGUAGAGGGGGGUAGAAUUCCAGGUGUAGCGGUGAAAUGCGUAGAGAUCUGGAGGAAUACCGGUGGCGAAGGCGGCCCCCUGGACAAAGACUGACGCUCAGGUGCGAAAGCGUGGGGAGCAAACAGGAUUAGAUACCCUGGUAGUCCACGCCGUAAACGAUGUCGAUUUGGAGGUUGUGCCCUUGAGGCGUGGCUUCCGGAGCUAACGCGUUAAAUCGACCGCCUGGGGAGUACGGCCGCAAGGUUAAAACUCAAAUGAAUUGACGGGGGCCCGCACAAGCGGUGGAGCAUGUGGUUUAAUUCGAUGCAACGCGAAGAACCUUACCUGGUCUUGACAUCCACAGAACUUUCCAGAGAUGGAUUGGUGCCUUCGGGAACUGUGAGACAGGUGCUGCAUGGCUGUCGUCAGCUCGUGUUGUGAAAUGUUGGGUUAAGUCCCGCAACGAGCGCAACCCUUAUCCUUUGUUGCCAGCGGUCCGGCCGGGAACUCAAAGGAGACUGCCAGUGAUAAACUGGAGGAAGGUGGGGAUGACGUCAAGUCAUCAUGGCCCUUACGACCAGGGCUACACACGUGCUACAAUGGCAUAUACAAAGAGAAGCGACCUCGCGAGAGCAAGCGGACCUCAUAAAGUAUGUCGUAGUCCGGAUUGGAGUCUGCAACUCGACUCCAUGAAGUCGGAAUCGCUAGUAAUCGUAGAUCAGAAUGCUACGGUGAAUACGUUCC
rnacentral:rRNA from 1 species